GUGCCAGCAGCCGCGGUAAUACGAAGGGACCUAGCGUAGUUCGGAAUUACUGGGCUUAAAGAGUUCGUAGGUGGUUGAAAAAGUUGGUGGUGAAAUCCCAGAGCUUAACUCUGGAACUGCCAUCAAAACUUUUCAGCUAGAGUAUGAUAGAGGAAAGCAGAAUUUCUAGUGUAGAGGUGAAAUUCGUAGAUAUUAGAAAGAAUACCAAUUGCGAAGGCAGCUUUCUGGAUCAUUACUGACACUGAGGAACGAAAGCAUGGGUAGCGAAGAGGAUUAGAUACCCUCGUAGUCCAUGCCGUAAACGAUGUGUGUUAGACGUUGGAAAUUUAUUUUCAGUGUCGCAGCGAAAGCGAUAAACACACCGCCUGGGGAGUACGACCGCAAGGUUAAAACUCAAAUGAAUUGACGGGGACCCGCACAAGUAGUGGAGCAUGUGGUUUAAUUCGAAGAUACGCGCAGAACCUUACCAACACUUGACAUGUUCGUCGCGACUCUAAGAGAUUAGAGUUUUCGGUUCGGCCGGACGAAACACAGGUGCUGCAUGGCUGUCGUCAGCUCGUGUCGUGAGAUGUUGGGUUAAGUCCCGCAACGAGCGCAACCCUCACUUUUAGUUGCCAUCAUUAAGUUGGGCACUCUGAAAGAACUGCCAGUGAUAAGCUGGAGGAAGGUGGGGAUGACGUCAAGUCCUCAUGGCCCUUACGUGUUGGGCUACACACGUGCUACAAUGGUAUCUACAACAGGAAGCAAGACGGCGACGUUAAGCAAAUCCUUAAAAGAUACCUCAGUUCGGAUUGCACUCUGCAACUCGAGUGCAUGAAGCUGGAAUUACUAGUAAUCGUGGAUCAGCGUGCCACGGUGAAUGCGUUCCCGGGUCUUGUACACACCGCCCGUCACACCAUGGGAGUUGGUUCUACCUUAAGG
rnacentral:rRNA from 1 species